rnacentral:rRNA from 1 species
UACGUAGGGCGCAAGCGUUAAUCGGAAUUACUGGGCGUAAAGCGUGCGCAGGCGGCUUUGCAAGACAGAUGUGAAAUCCCCGGGCUUAACCUGGGAACUGCAUUUGUGACUGCAUGGCUGGAGUGCGGCAGAGGGGGAUGGAAUUCCGCGUGUAGCAGUGAAAUGCGUAGAUAUCAGGAGGAAUACCGAUGGCGAAGGCAGGUCUCUGGGCUGACACUGACGCUCAUGUACGAAAGCGUGGGGAGCAAACAGG